UGGGACACUUCACAUCCAAACCACACGGG
rnacentral:piRNA from 1 species